rnacentral:rRNA from 1 species
AUGGUGUUUGGGUUAAAUGCACCUUCUCGAAACAGUCAUGGAAUCACUUCUUGUAGCAAGAGUUUUUGUUUUUUUGCUGAAGCACUUAUUGCUAUUCUAACUGACUUAACUCUUUGGCAUGGGCCAAAUAGAUGGAAACUGUAUUUUCUCUGUUGCAAGGGUACAUACAUCAGCUUAACUUCUGCCAGCACUCACCUCCAGAUAUAUGACAUUCCUGAUGUACAUACCAGAGAUUUUAAUAUUUAUUUGCUAUAUCAGAAGCUUGAUAGUUAUUCCUAUUUAUGCCAAAUAUACUGUUGUACUGUCUAG